ensembl:lincRNA
UGGGUAGGUGACUUGGAACGCACCAACAAAUAUAAAACGUGAUUCUUGUUCUCAUAGAGUUCAUCAGUAUAGUUGCUGGAAAGAAAUACACAUGAAAACUGUUAAAACACAAAAAAUUAUUGUUUUCAAAUUUAACAAUACUAAAUUACUUGUCACCAAGCAGCUACGAACAACUAGCGGCAGGCGUCAUAAAGGUCGCAGAAGGACUGAAGCACCAAGGACCUAGAGAGGUUGGGUCUGGUAUCCGGUCAUGAAGGACUUGCAACCAGAGCUUGGAAUGGACAGAAGACAAGAAAGAGGUGAACAAUACCCUCACUCCCAAGGACCUCAGAGUAAAUGGGGAUUGAUCUUGCUGUUCCUGAUCUCUCAGCUGGAAGACCACAUGCAACACCCUCUUGACUUGACUCUCUCCUCCCCAUUUCCAACCUACGAGAUAUUCCCCAUUGUUUUCCCUCUCUCCACACUCCCUUCAAGUGGGCCUUUUGGAAAAGGCUGAAGAACUAGGUGUUCAGUCAGGAUUAGGUGAUGCUUUGAUAACAAAUGUCCUCAAAAUAUCCAUGACUUAAAACCACCAGCAUUUAUGUCUUACUCAUAUCACGUGUCCUUAUUGGGUUGACUGAAUUAUCUGCCCUACAUCGUACUCACUGCAUGUCCCCCCACAAAAAUUAACAGAAAAUGAUGUAUAAAAAAGAGGUUAAGAUAUUUAUAUAUCUUAACCUCUUUGUGCCUAAAAUAAGUUAAUUCUGGUAUGUCCAGAAUUCUGGCUCCCUUGAGUUUCCCUGAGGGGAUUAAGCUGUAGUCAUCCACAGUGGUAACUGCCUUGGAAAGAGUCCCUAUAUGAUCUGCUUCUGUCCUUGUCUAUUUCCCCACCUCUACUGCUCUUCUUCCUGACUAAACUAUUUCAUGGAACCAUAACUGGCAUUUGUGUAGGUCACAAAUGAUUGAGUAUCAGUAGUUUCAUAAGUUUCAAAUUAAUUCCUGAACCAGAAUCCUUGAUUGAGGAUUUGCUUCUAAGGCACGCAUACAAACAAAGUUUCACUUAUUUUUUUGAAUUUCGUAAAAAUGAAACCAUACUGCAUGUUUUCUUUUGUAACUGAAGUCUUUUUCUCAACACUAUGGCUUUGAAACACAUACAUCUUGUGGCAUGUAAGUAUAACUUAAUUAUUUUUGUUCGUGUGCAGCAUAUUUCAUUGCCUGAAUAUCCUAUGCUUUAUAAAUUUUAUUGUUAAUAGGUGAAUUUUUUUUUAAGAUUUUAUUUAUUUGACAGACAGAGAUCACAAGUAGGCAGAAAGGAAGGAAGAGAGAGAGGAAGGGAAGCAGGCUCCCUGCCGAGCAGAAAGCCCAACGCCGAACUCGAUCCCAGGACCCUGGGACCAUGACCUGAGCUGAAGGCAGAGGCUUUAACCCACUGAGCCACCCAGGUGCCCUAAUAGGUGAAUUAUUUUGGGUAUGGACCUAUUAUAAACAUAAAGCUAUCAACAGCCUAGUAUGUACUUCACGUUGUACAUUUGCACUAAUUUCUCUAGGACCUAUCACUAUAUAAGUAGUUCUAUAAAAGAAUUGCUAAAUCAUACAGUAUGUUCAUAUUCUAUUUGUUCUUGAAAAAAUAUUAAAAAUAAGGAACAAUAACCUUUACUGGGUGUAAUCUAGUAUGUACAUCUACUGUCUUGCUACUUUCUACAUAGCAUAUCUUCAAUGUAAAAGUUUUCAUUCUAUGCAGACCUGAGUUGGAAAGCAGGCUGAGGAUUUCGAUUCCUCUCGGGAUAGCUCCUCUGGAUUUUCUCCUUGAAGAGUGUAAUCUCCUUAUGUUUACCCUUUUCUUCAAGCGAUAAAUAAAUCCAACUCCUUUAGUUCUUUCUCUAGUUAUUUCCAUUGCUCUCUUCUGAACUGCCUCCAAAUUUUUCAGAUCCAGGGUGACCAGAUAACUUAUUAUCUUAAGCUGAUAAAUUUUGAGAAUGAAAAGAGGUGUUAAAAUAAUUAACAAUGUUAAUUGAUUUACAGUAGGUGUAAACCAGAUUCAUGCCAGGCAAAACAGAAUGUACUGUUACCCUACUCAUAUCAUACUUUAUUUAAUGUGCUCUCAAAGCAAAUAAAGAAUGUUUCUGGAGGACGGGCACAUGUUAAGUAUUAAGGAGGCAUGGUUGGCUACAUGACGCGUUUCCAUUUAUAGCCCCAGUCUCAGAGGGUUUACUAUGAAUUUAUUAUGCACAAGUAACAACACAUAAUGGUAUUUCUAAAUAGGAAGUGUAGAAAACACUGGGCUUUUAGUGGCGAUGAGGUAACAUUAGCUAGGUUUCAGCUGUGUCCUUUAGGGAAAUUGUGACUAUCUAUUUGAUCUUCAGUUUGGCAACAGACACAAAUCUCAAUGGCAAUUCAGUACAAAAAGGAGAUUUUUCUGAAGUAUUAGCUGGUUGCUAAGUAACAUGGAAAAAUGGUUAAAUUAGGAAAAGUUUACUAAAUUCCCUUGUAUUUACUGGCUUCAGAAAACAGCUCUUGUUUAGAUAGGACCUGUUUGACAACUUGUACUUGGAAAACUGAAAGUGUGACAUUUUUCUACAAGCAGAAAUAUGCAAAACAAAACUAUUUUAGGCAUAAGAAAUUUCACAGGGUUAGUAUUUGUUUAUACAGAACAGUCAAUAAUGCAUCUCAUUAUUUAGAUAAGCAAAACAUCAGAAUAAAAAU